rnacentral:miRNA from 2 species
UCUCCUCAGCAGCACAAGAAG